AUGCUCACUUCAGCAGCACAUACACUAAAACUGAAACGAUACAAAGAUUAGCAUGGCCCCUGCACAAGGAUGACAUGCAAAUUCGUGAAGGAAUUCGAACCUCA
ensembl:snRNA U6 U6 spliceosomal RNA